rnacentral:lncRNA from 1 species
GUAGUUUUGCCUCCUGUGUUGCUCCUGUAUGGACCCUGGACAUCAGUCAUCAGCUUGCAGUGCCUUGGGCAGUCAAUGGACCUUGUUUUCAGCACACAACUUGGAUGCUGCAGGACUACACUUAGUCACAACUGUGCUUGCUGAACCUAUUCACCCAGCAAUGAAUACUCCAGAUGACUUCAAUCUCAAAGGCUCUCCAGGAGAAAGAAGACCAAAAUGGCAUGACUGUAACCUGAUCUGAAAGGCAAGGUCUGUCUGUGCUUGUAAACAAGGUGAUCUCAGACUGGCCAUUUUAAGCGGUGAGUUAAGUGUGGUUCAGUGUUGUGUAUGCUGCAGAAAGCCCUAUAUGAAAUCCCCUAUUCUUUCAUGUGUUUUCAAAAGCCAGUUGAAUGUUAAUCAAGGUAUAAUCUUCCAGCUAGUCCUAGUAAAGGAAGAUUUUUUUAUUUAUUAAUUUAUAUAUCUUUAAAAUCAAUCUAGAUUGCUAAAUACAUGGUAAUAUUUUAAUUAGUGAGGAAAAAAUAACAUAAUUGAAGCAAAUCAGGAUUUCAGUUUUUCAAUGUCUGUACAUUCAGGAAGUGGAACAUAAACAACCCAUGCCAAAUCACUAUCAAUGGAAGACCAAAGUUGUUACUGUUCUGAAUUGACUUCAACUUCAGUUUGUUACAUGCACAGAAAAAAAAAAAAAAAAAAAGUAAUAAAAAGGACUCUUGGAAAAAUAAAAAGGUAGGC